rnacentral:tRNA from 1 species
GCGGAAGUGGCGGAAUGGUAGACGCGCUGGCUUCAGGUGCCAGUGGCCGCAAGGUCGUGGGGGUUCAAGUCCCCCCUUCCGCA